GCUGCGAUGGCCGAGUGGUUAAGGCGUUGGACUCGAAAUCCAAUGGGAUAUUCCCGCGCAGGUUCGAAUCCCGUUCGCAGCG
rnacentral:tRNA from 1 species